ACUGGGAGUAACAGAGGGAAACUUCUGAUAAUACUGGAUAAGUUAGUAUAUCGCAUGAUAUGCAAAUGAAAGCUACGGCACUAAAGGAGAGCUUUGCGUCCUAUUAGCUAGUUGGUAAGGUAAGAGCUUACCAAGGCGAUGAUAGGUAGCCGGCCUGAGAGGGUGGACGGCCACAAGGGGACUGAGAUACGGCCCUUACUCCUACGGGAGGCAGCAGAG
rnacentral:rRNA from 1 species